CGAGGCAAGGUCUGUGGUUGAAAGUCGAUGCCAGACGCGGGCAAAGCGAUCCACAUAAACCGGUAAAAUUGCCGGCGAACAUGGCGCGUUCUAGACGUAAGUCCAACCGGAACAAUCAUCCGAGAGAAGCAGUAGUGGGGACGGCAGAAACCGUUAGGAGCGAACCUUCCAGUUGGCGAGUGUGGGGGCAAAAACCAGGUCAGCUUACCGGG
rnacentral:ncRNA from 12 species